AUUGAACGCUGGCGGCAGGCCUAACACAUGCAAGUCGAACGCGUGGCGGACGGGUGAGUAAUGUCUGGGAAACUGCCUGAUGGAGGGGGAUAACUACUGGAAACGGUAGCUAAUACCGCAUACCAUCGGAUGUGCACAGAUGGGAUUAGCUAGUAGGUGGGGUAACGGCUCACCUAGGCGACGAUCCCUAGCUGGUCUGAGAGGAUGACCAGCCACACUGAAACUGAGACACGGUCAAGACUCCUACGGGAGGAAGCAGUGGGGAAUAUUGCACAAUGGGCGCAAGCCGGAUGCAGCCAUGCCGCGUGUGUGAAGAAGGCCUUAGGGUUGUAAAGGACUUUAAGCGGGGAGGCGUUACCCGCAGAAGAAGCACCGGCUAACUCCGUGCCAGCGGCCGCGGUAAUAC
rnacentral:rRNA from 1 species